AGAGUCCUCGCCCCGAACUGCCCCGCCUCCUCUUCCGAGCAUAUGCGGCAAGCGGGGUGGGGGGCGGGGAAAGAGGAGGGAAAGGGCCUCUGUCUGGAAGAUACGGCGGUUUGAAUUUUAUUUUUCCUUGGUAAACGCUCACCGAGGACGCGGGGAAGUAAAGAGGCCACUAAUGCGAAAGUUAUUCUGUGGGAUUUUAUAAAAAUAAAUAAAUAAAUUCCCCCCUUCUUAGUUUUGGCGUGGGAAAUUUAAGACUCUCGAAUUAAGCCAUGGUUCCAGGUUCAUUCCUUCAGAGAGGAGGAGUUCCCUUACUAAAUACUGUAUGCUUCUUUGAGGCUAUAGUUCUAGAUGCAGUUCUUUAAAAAUAAAUCCUAUUGAGCCUCCGAGGGGGAUGAUCUACUGCAAAGGAACUCCCGAGGUAUCUUCGUCUAAACUUUUGCUUUGGGGUUUCUUUCAUUGCCAUUUUGUUGUAUCAAAACUGUUUCAUUCCAUAUGUUUGCCGAGAGGAAACGGAGAUACUCAGAAGUGAAGGCACUGGCACUACAAAACUGUCAUUAUCAAACUGAAUUGCAACUGCAAAGCUCUCACUGAAGAAAAUGAUCCAGUUGCUUUUUUUGAAAUUAGAAAAACAGACUGAAAAAGAGUUACCGCAGGAGCACAAGUAAAGCAACAUUUUUUAUUGAUCUAUCUGCCAUAAACUCAAGAUCCCUUUCAUGAUUUCUAUAUAGAACACGAAUGGAAAAAGAAAAUUAGGAGUAAAGCCAGAUGAAUGGAAGGUCAAUUUGUCCUGAAAAAGUUGGAAGCCACAUUCCAUUCCACCUGAGGGUUUAUGCCAUUCUUACUAAGAAGACAAAAAGGAUUGAUAAGAAAAAUAAUUUUAUAGUUUUGCAGAUUUAUGAAUAGGGAAUCUAAAUGGAUCUAGGAAGAUAACUUUAAAAUGUCCUGAGGUUACGUGAUCACCAUUUGCAACCUUCUUUGCUGACUCCCUACAAGCAAGCUUUCCAGUGAGAAAGCUGGAAAAAGAUCACAAAUGACUACAUCUUUUUAACUAUGGAAAUUCCAGCCCCAAUUCCCAUAAUUCCAUCCUUUUGAGGUCGGUAACCUGAGGACCCAGAUUGUUGGGGGCAAUAUGCUGACUCUGUAAAGCACUAAGUGAAGCGGUAUAUAAGUCUGAGUGCUAUUGCUAUUAACCGAGGGCUAUGUUUGUUAGAAAGCAGAGAAUAAGUUCCUUCAGACCUACAUGUGUGUAGGUCUAACUAUUAUUAUUUAAAUUUGUAUUCUAUCUUUUUACCUUGGAACCAAAAUUCAAGAAACAUAACAAAACAACUGUGUUUAACUGCAUUUAAUUAAAGUAAUAACACAAAUUGAUACCAUAUAAAUAACUCAUUAAAAGCUCAAGAAACAUUACAAAAACAAUAACUAUAUGUAAUUGCAUUUAAUCAAAGUAACAACACAAACGUAAAAUAAUACCAUAUAGGAACACAUGAAAAUUGUUCAAAAAAGUAAAUAAAAAAGAUGUAUCUUGAUACAUUUCUUGAGGGUAGACUAAAUGGAGAGUUACAGCAACUCUAAAAGGAAUUCAUUUCAGUCCGGGAGAAAUUCUGCUAGAGAUCUCAUCCUAUGUGUCCAAAAAAAAUAAGUAUCUAUAACAGAUCUGUGAUAAGGCCUCCUAAUUUUUGUCCCUCAGAUAGCCAUUGAAGAAUUUAAUGAUUACAUCCAACAUCAAGCCCACAAAACAAUUGGCCAAUAUAAAGAUUUUUCAGCAAACAUGUUGACAAAAUAUAUUUCCUUGUUAUUAUUCUGACAUUGAUGUUUGCUUUUGCAUGUGGAUUUUAACAAAAUCAAAUUACCGGUAACUGAAUGCAUACAUGCCAGUUUGUGGUGGUAGCUAAGAUGCUGGUCUAGAAACUACAAGACCCUUGAGUUGUAGUUCCACCUUAGGCAUGAAAAAGCAGCUGGAUGACUUUGGGUCAGUCACACACUCUCAAACCAGUCUUCUUCACAGGGUUGUUCAUGCUGGAAGGAAAGGAAAGGAAAGGAGUAUUAUGUAUGUACACCAUCUUGACUUCUUUAUAAAGUAAUAAAGAUGAGAUAAAAAUUUAAUGAAACUAAAUAUUUUAAAAUUAACAAAAUUAUGAUACUCUGGUUUUUUUCAUUU